GUCUACAGCCAUGCCACCCUGAACAAGCCUGAUCUCAUCUGAUUUCAGAAGCUAAGCAGAGUCGGGCCUGGUUAGUACUUGGAUGGAAGACCACCUAGGAAGACCAGGUGCUGUAGG
rnacentral:rRNA from 1 species